UCAACACGUAAAAUGUGUUCUUGAGGUGGUCUCUAAAUACAGGUGAGAUAUACUCAAGGUCAUACUUUGGCCCCUUUUGACUUAUUCUAAUUUUCUUCAGUUUCAACUUGAACUCCCAUAUGAGCAAUUGACAGUCUGUUUCACAAUCGAUCCCUGGCCUUGUUCUGACUGAUGAUAUGAGUUUUCCCAUCUUCUCUUUCCACAGAUGUAGUCAGUUUGAUUCCUGUGUAUUCCAUCUGGUAAAGUCCACGUGUAUAGCUGCCGUUUAUGUUGGUGAAAAAAAAUAUUUGCAGUGGAUGAGUCACUGGUCUUGCAAAAUUCUUUCAUGAGAUUUCUGGCAUCAUUUAUUUCAGCAAUGCUGUAUUUUCCAACUACUUUUCCUUCUUUGUUUCCAACUUUAACAUUCUAAUGACCAGUAAUUAUCAAUGCAUCUUCAUUGCAUGGUGGAUCAAUUUCAGGCUGCAGAAGUUGUGUAAAAUCUUCAAUUUCUGUAUCUUUGGCAUUAGUGGUUGGUGCAUAAAUUUGAAUAGUCAUAUAAACUAGUCUUCCUUGUAAGUGUAUGGAUUUUAGCCUAUCAGUGACAACAUUGUACUUCAGGCUAGAUCUUGAAAUGUUCUCUUUGAUGAUAUGUAACGUCAUUCUUUUGACUCUGGUGGAAUAUCCGUGUUUGUAAGACUGCUCACAGACUGUUUCACCAAAGAGUUUUCUGGUACUGCAACAUCUACCACUAAUCUCUGUGAUCCCUUUGAAUUGGCAAAAUAAGAAUAGUGCUAUAGAUUUCUUCCAAAUACAGAAAACAUAAUUAUGAAAAUGUUCUUGCUGUUGAUUAUAUUCUUUACCAAUCAGUUCGUAUGGGAUUUUUGGUACUUCACUUGAAAAAUGAGUCCAAGGUACUGUGAUGUGAUUUUUUACUUUGUGUGGCCUUUCUAGCCAUGGUCUUAUAACAUCCACCCUGGUGCUUGGGCAGGACUGUGUGAUAGGGUAAUUGUGGCUCACCAAGGGGAUUGCUUAGUUUUCCUUCAAAGAGAACCAGUUCCAGAGCAAAGAGGAGGAUUCAACUCCCAUCAAGGAAGAACAGCCAAGAGCCGAGCGUAUAUUAUGGACCUGAGAUCCCUGCACUGAGAAGCUCCUAGAAGCAGGAGACUGAGAUAGAGAGAGGAAGCUGUAACCCUGAAGAUGCUUAAAUACAGACCAGAAGAGGAGUUUGGGGCUUGACACCUGACAUCUUAACACCAGUUCCUGUUUCUUGAGGAAGGAAGAGGUAAAAUAAAUCAGCGUUUACUGUAUCCUUCUCCAUCCCCGGAAGUCCUGAUGAAGACCCUCUCAGCUUCAACUUGAACGUGAAUAUGAGCAACUGAUCAUCUGUUCUGCAGUCAGCCCCUGGCCUGAUUCUGACUCAUGAUAUUGACCUUCUCCAUCAUCACCUUCCACAAAUUUGUUUUCUGUCUAUUCUGCCUGGAGUGGUUCAUGAGUAUAGUCACCGUUUAUGUUCCUGACGAAAGAGAACCAGUUCCAGAGCAAAGAGGAGGAUUCAACUCCCAUCAAGGAAGAACAGCCAGGAGCUGAGCAUAUAUUGUGGACCUGAGAUCCCUGCACUGAGAAGAUCCUAGAAGCAGGAGACUGAGAUAGAGAGAGGAAGCUGUAACCCUGAAGACGGUAAGAUGCCAUGGCAGGAGAGACCAAGCAACAGGGACCCGGGUAUAGGAGAUGCUGGCCUAUGGAGAAGGAAAGCUGAGUGCCUUUGGAGAGAGGCCCAAGGCCAGGCAGAGGCACACCUAUGAGCACAGGAGGGAAGAGGCUGUCCUGAUAGAAGAACUGUAUUCUGAGUGUCUUUGAGCCUGAGUUAUAAAUGUUACUUCCCUAAUAAACCCCAUAAUCAUGAAUAUGGACUAUGAGCUCUGUGUGGCCAUUGCAAUGAAUUACUGAACCCAGCAGAGAAGUAGGGAGUGCUGUAUGAGGGACAGUUGGUGUCAGAGUUAGUGAAGAUGGUGGAGAGAGGAUAGUUUUUCACCAAUGCCUUCAAUGCAGCUUCGAUUUCUUCCUUUUAUACCAUCAGUUCUUGAUCUUAUGCUACCUCUUGAAGUGGUUGAAAAUUAUCCAGUUCUACUGCAGUAGCUAUAUUAAUAUCAGACAAAUUAUACUUCAGAAAAAGUAGUAUUAUUGGGAAUAAGUAGGGACAUAACAUAAUAAAAGUUCAAUUCUCCAAAAAGACACAGCAAUCCUAAAUGUGUAUGUAUUUAACAACAGGGCUCCAAAAUACAAAAACUAAUAAAUCUGAAAGGGGAAAUGGACAAAUACACAUUUAUAAUCGAUAUCAGUACUUUUCUAUGAAUAAUUAAUAGAGCCCUGCUAGUUGAAGUCCAAAGCAUCUGUAUGAACCACUCAUGGAUGUCUAUGUGUGUGUGUAUGUGUAUAUGUAUGUAUAUAGUAUAAAGACAAGUAAUACAGAAAUAAACAUAGAUAUAUGUUGUAGUCCUUGGGAGGUACAAACGGUUGAUGCAUUCAGCUGCUAUCAAAAUGUUGGAGGUUUGAGUCCACCCAGAGGCACUUUGGAAGAAAGGCUUGGUGAUGUACUUUUGAAAAAUUAGCCAUUGAACUGACACAGUUGUGUGUCACUACUACUAUGACACACAUGGGGGAGGGGUCACCCUGAGUCAGAUCAGCUUGAUAGCAAUUGUAUGAUUUUUUUAUUCAUUCUUUCAAUGUUUGCCUUUUAAUUGGUAUCUUAGGCUGGGUUCUCUAGAGAAGCAAAACCAGUGAGGUAUAUAUAUAUAUGUAUUUAUAUAUAAAUAGAUUUAUAACAAGGAAAUGGCUCAC